rnacentral:rRNA from 1 species
AUUGAACGCUGGCGGCGUGCCUAACACAUGCAAGUCGAGCGGCAGCGCGGGAGCAAUCCUGGCGGCGAGCGGCGGACGGGUGAGUAAUGCUUGGGAAUCUGCCUGUUAGUGGGGGACAACCCGGGGAAACUCGGGCUAAUACCGGCAUACGCACUACGGUGGGAAAGCCGGGGACCGCAAGGGCCUGGCGCUAACAGAUGAGCCCAAGUCGGAUUAGCUAGUUGGUAGGGUAACGGCCACCGAAGGCGACGAUCCGUAACUGGUCUGAGAGGACGACCAGUCACACCGGAACUGAGACACGGUCCGGACUCCUACGGGAGGCAGCAGUGGGGAAUAUUGGACAAUGGGCGAAAGCCUGAUCCAGCGACGCCGCGUGGGUGAAGAAGGCCU